rnacentral:rRNA from 1 species
GACGAACGCUGGCGGCGUGCUUAACACAUGCAAGUCGAACGGAAAGGCCCUGCUUUUGUGGGGUGCUCGAGUGGCGAACGGGUGAGUAACACGUGAGUAACCUGCCCUUGACUUUGGGAUAACUUCAGGAAACUGGGGCUAAUACCGGAUAGGAGCUCCUGCUGCAUGGUGGGGGUUGGAAAGUUUCGGCGGUUGGGGAUGGACUCGCGGCUUAUCAGCUUGUUGGUGGGGUAGUGGCUUAUCAAGGCUUUGACGGGUAGCCGGCCUGAGAGGGUGACCGGCGACAUUGGGACUGAGAUACGGCCCAGACUCCUACGGGAGGCAGCAGUGGGGAAUAUUGCACAAUGGGCGGAAGCCUGAUGCAGCAACGCCGCGUGCGGGAUGACGGCCUUCGGGGUGUAAACCGCUUUCGCCUGUGACGAAGCGUGAGUGACGGUAAUGGGUAAAGAAGCACCGGCUAACUACGUG